GAAAAAAUUGCAAGGAAAAAAAGAUGCUAGAGCACAGCUUGCAGGCCAUAAAAGUGGAUACUCAAUAAAUCAAACAACAUUCCUUAACGCUUACUAAAACCACAGGUCAAUAAACAGCAUUUACAGCAAACAUAAACACGGGCAGACCCAAAAAAACUUGCAGUAACACAGUCAAGCAUUCCAUCAACGAGUGUUCUAAAAGAAUCUGUAAUUUUUCGUUUGGGUCCUUAGGAGACAUAAAAAUUAUAACGUGGGAAUCUUAAAAGAACUCGCGUUAAC
rnacentral:misc_RNA from 1 species